CACGGGGGGAGCAAGCGUUGUUCGGAAUCACUGGGCGUAAAGGGCGUGUAGGCGGUCAGGUAAGUGAGAUGUGAAAUGCCCCGGCUCACCCGGGGACCGGCAUCUCAUACUGCUUGGCUUGAGUACGGGAGAGGAUGUGGGAAUUCCUGGUGUAGCGGUGAAAUGCGUAGAUAUCAGGAGGAACACCGGUGGCGAAGGCGGCAUCCUGGACCGGCAUUGACGCUGAUGAGCGAAAGCUAGGGGAGCAAACGGG
rnacentral:rRNA from 1 species